CCACUUAUCAUGCUCCUCAAUGCUAGCCCAGGAAUUGCCUGGAUAACAGCAGGAUGCUGGUGGGAUUGUGCUCUGACAGCUACCGAGAGCCUGGGGCUUCCAGCAGUGCCUGGAGGAAGUGCUCAUGUGAGGGAGCAUCUGCAAUGGUUGCUUUUUGGCUGCAGUAAUGGUCUGCUGAGGUGACCAGAAUCCUUUGUGAGGUCUUCAUAGACCUCUGUGCUUGAUGUGGUUUCUUUCUUCCAUCCCAGCACUUAAAAAGAAGGAAAACCCACAUCAGGACAGAGCUGCAGAAGUAACUGCUGUGCCUGAAGACCCACACAGUGACCAAAUCCCGCCCUGUGACAGACUGAGGAGUGUGACUACGUUGCUGUCAUGGAGCAAACUUCCCUAUGGAGAGCCAGGGGAUGUUGGAUGUCAGCAGGGCAAAAGCACAGUCACCAUCUCCCUCUCCCUGAGGGGAGGCAAGACCAUGG